AAAUUGAAGCCCAUGCCGUCACUUGAGAGUCGCACUGCAUGUCAUCGCCUCUCUCUCUCUCUCCCUCGCUCUAUCUCUUUCUCAUGAACACCCUGAUCGCAGUCACCGACAGUGAGAUCAAUGGUCGCAGGGGUUCCUUUUUAGCUCAGAGAGGCGAGCAAUGAGAGGAGAGAAGGGAAAAAGGAAGUUACUACGUUGUCAUUUCUGCCGUCUCUUUUUGUCUAUAAAGAAGAUAUUGACGGAAGAAAACGCUCACAUCCAAAACAUCUCUCUCUCUCUCUCUCUCUCUCUCUCUCUCUAAUACGAUUCCCACGCACGAUGCCACAACGGCUGCCUCGCAGCUCUCAUUUCCGGAGCCGUUUUCCUGGGCAGAGAGCCAGUGUCUCGUCCACUGGGUGGCCUGUGCAUGUCUAAUUCAUCUUCUCUGAUGUGUUGUUGCGGAGAGAGUGAGGAAGGGAAGGGAAAGGCGCCACCUUGAUGAGUUCUUCACUGCCAAAAUCGGAUUUUUAUGAGAUAGGAGGUUCCGUAGAUGGUUUCCGGUCUUUAGCGAUGGGGAGUGCUGAGGGCAUUUUGGCUGGGUAAAGAAGAAGCCUUCAAACAAACACACCGAAAAAAGAUGAGACCUUUAGUUGGAAUUGAUGCCUGCGAUUAACUGAUAUCAGUCACUGUCUCUUUUUGUUUGCAUUGGUUUUGUGUUCUAAUUUACCUCAAAUUUGUAUUCCCUCUCGGUUCUGUAAAGAUCCAAUCUUUACAUCAUUCAAAGUUCUGCAACUGAGGAGGAGGAGGAGGAGGACAAGAAGAGAUUCCAGUGCCAAACUCAGGUCUUCACCUCCGCAGAGAUCUCAAUGUACCAACCAAACAUCUUUCUUUGGAAGAGAUCCAGAGCAGUCGGUGCCAAACAAGGCCUGAUGUCAUCUUUCCAUGGCGGCAGCAGCUGUGGCAAGCCCGCAGCUUCCUCACUCUUGCCUUCUGCAAGGUUCUCUGAGGCUGCCAUGAGCCCAACCUCCACACCAGAAACCAGAAACUUGUCUUCCAUUGGCAAUCAUAUCCCCCCUUUUGAUGCGAUUACCACUAGCAGCGCCUCUGUUUCAGACACCAAGCAGCAUCCAUGGAGAAAUCGAGGCUCGAGACCCACUGGGCUCGGCAUCAUCGACGCUCUCAGUGACGAACAGUUCGACACCAAGCCACAGCGCAGUAUGGUUCUGCUCGGAACAAAGCUGAAGAUCCAAAUUCCUUCCCUUUGUCCGACCUCCAACUCGCCGGUUGGGUCCCCGAUCGAGUUCGGCAUCAAGAACAGAGACUCCCAGUUGGCUCACCUUUCUCCUGCCCAGAGCUCUCCCGGCUCGGAGAUGCCAGCUUCCUCCCCUCGGGUCUUCGCCGGAAGCAACUUCUCCAUGAGCGAGAUGGAGCUCUCGGAGGACUACACCUGCGUGAUCUUUCAUGGCCCGAAUCCGAGGACUACACACAUCUUCGACAGCUGCGCAGUGGAGCAGUGCGGAGAUGGCUUCACUCGAUCAACCAAAAGCCGCAGCUUUGCAGCUGAUAGCAGAGGGUAUCCUUUGAAUGAGUCCUUGAGCUUCUGCUGCGCAUGCAAGAAGAAUGUCGAGCAAGGAAAGGAAACCUUCAUGUAUAAAGGUGAGAAAGCAUUUUGCAGUAGUGAAUGCUGCAUCAAAGGGAUGCUUGAUGAGUAUGGGAUAGAGACAAGUGCUCAGAGGAGUCAUCACUCACGAUGUGAUCCAUGCUUCUAAUUACCACAGCAAAUUUGAUCUCCAAUUAAGCCUUUUUUUUUAGUGGUUUGUGGAUCCUAAUCAAAUGGGGAUGGAAGUGAUCUUGAAGAACCAAAUCAUUCAUUCACUUCGUUGGUGUUCUCCAUGAGUUUUGCUUUCAGAGAAGUGAUUUCUCUAAGAAAGCUGGUAGGAUCAAAUCCAAGACAGAUAUUUGUUGGUGUUAAAACAUGUUCUUACGAUGAUUUCUUCUCUAAGAAAGUUUGU